rnacentral:rRNA from 1 species
GAUGAACGCUGGCGGCGUGCCUAAUACAUGCAAGUCGAGCGAACAGAUAAGGAGCUUGCUCCUUUGACGUUAGCGGCGGACGGGUGAGUAACACGUGGGUAACCUACCUAUAAGACUGGAAUAACUCCGGGAAACCGGGGCUAAUGCCGGAUAACAUUUAGAACCGCAUGGUUCUAAAGUGAAAGAUGGUUUUACUAUCACUUAUAGAUGGACCCGCGCCGUAUUAGCUAGUUGGUAAGGUAACGGCUUACCAAGGCAACGAUACGUAGCCGACCUGAGAGGGUGAUCGGCCACACUGGAACUGAGACACGGUCCAGACUCCUACGGGACGCAGCAGUAGGGAAUCUUCCGCAAUGGGCGAAAGCCUGACGGAGCAACGCCGCGUGAGUGAUGAAGGUCUUCGGAUCGUAAAACUCUGUUAUUAGGGAAGAACAAAUGUGUAAGUAACUGUGCACGUCUUGACGGUACCUAAUCAGAAAGCCACGGCUAACUACGUG